GAUGAACGCUGGCGGCGUGCCUAAUACAUGCAAGUCGAGCGAACAGACGAGGAGCUUGCUCCUCUGACGUUAGCGGCGGACGGGUGAGUAACACGUGGAUAACCUACCUAUAAGACUGGGAUAACUUCGGGAAACCGGAGCUAAUACCGGAUAAUAUAUUGAACCGCAUGGUUCAAUAGUGAAAGACGGUUUUGCUGUCACUUAUAGAUGGAUCCGCGCCGCAUUAGCUAGUUGGUAAGGUAACGGCUUACCAAGGCAACGAUGCGUAGCCGACCUGAGAGGGGGAUCGGCCACACUGGAGCUGAGACACGGUCCAGACUCCUACGGGAGGCAGCAGUAGGGAAUCUUCCGCAAUGGGCGAAAGCCUGACGGAGCAGCGCCGCGUGAGUGAUGAAGGUCUUCGGAUCGUAAAACUCUGUUAUUAGGGAAGAACAAAUGUGUAAGUAACUAUGCACGUCUUGACGGUACCUAAUCAGAAAGCCACGGCUAACUACGUG
rnacentral:rRNA from 1 species